GAUGAACGCUAGCGGCAGGCCUAACACAUGCAAGUCGAGGGAGAAGCCCUUUCGGGGGCAGAAACCGGCGCACGGGUGCGUAACGCGUAUGCAACCUACCUUUCACAGGGGGAUAGCCCGAAGAAAUUUGGAUUAAUACCCCAUAAUAUUAUUGGAUGGCAUCAUUUGAUAAUUAAAACUGCGGUGGUGAGAGAUGGGCAUGCGUCCUAUUAGCUAGUUGGAGUGGUAACGGCACCCCAAGGCUACGAUAGGUAGGGGUCCUGAGAGGGAGAUCCCCCACACUGGUACUGAGACAGGGACCAGACUCCUACGGGAGGCAGCAGUGAGGAAUAUUGGUCAAUGGUCGGAAGACUGAACCAGCCAUGCCGCGUGCAGGAAGAAUGCCUUAUGGGUUGUAAACUGCUUUUAUAUGGGAAGAAUAAGGCGUACGUGUACGUUGAUGACGGUACCAUAUGAAUAAGCAUCGGCUAACUCCGUG
rnacentral:rRNA from 1 species